UUGUUGCUGUUUAAUCAUGGAAUUCUGUUACACACCUUGUCUCGACAAGAGAUUGCGAGUCGAGAACUCCUAGUCUCGACUCGAGACCAUAACACCGGCACAAAACAACACAACUCGAGAGCACGGUUGCGGGUCCGGUUGCGACUCGAGACCGUGUAGUCUCGACCAGACCAAGAUGACCCGAGAACUCCCUGUUGCGACUCGAGACUUCGAGAUCAAUAUAACCCGAGACCGACUAGUCUCGACUCGAGAUUGCUAGUCUUGACUCGAGACCGAGAACAUGCACACCCUGUUAUUGGACUGGCCCACUGUUACCAGCCCAAUUGAUUGGGCCGCGUAUUUGGACUUGCUUAUGUGAAGUUACUGUAGAACUGCCAUGCUUAUACGUGAACAUGAUGAUCAAUGCUUGUACACAACUUGUUACUAUAUGUGUGGAACAUACGUGCAAUACUAGUGUACGAAUCUGAUUGGUAUGAUAACUGUGAUAGGACGUAGUUGAUCACUUUGUAGCUUAAUUGAACUGUUGUGUAUCAUACCGAGCAACCAAGGUGAGUUCACUGCAUUUCUCAAGCAUGCGCCCCGGUGGUUUGGGACAACUAGUAAACAUUUGGAAGGGAAACUUUGGGUAAACAAAUAAAUCGGUUUUGGUUAUUGAACAUGGAAUCUAUCAUCAUCAGAUUGCCUGUAGGGCAAUGGGGGUAAUUAGUUGAUAGCGCUAUUAGGUGGGACACCUCACACCGGGCCGUAAGGACGGGCGUGAACUAAUUAUCUGGGCAUCAUUACCAAUGCUUGGUUAGGAGCAUUGGGGUUGUUAAGGGGCACACUCCCCGGAUACAUAUGGGCACACUCCCUAGGGUAUCUAGCAUGUUAUGAGCAACAUCGUCGUUAGAAUUUGUGACAUGGACUUGCUAUCUGGGAGUGCUGGAGUGGUCAUGGAUCGAGACUCUCGGAUUAAUCUAUAUUGGAUACAUUGGUUUUAAGUAUUAUUAUGAAACAAUUGCUAAACGAUUAUUUACAUGCUUCCGCUACACAACAUUUGGAGAAUUGAUAUCAUGUUCAACUUUUUAUUGGUAAUUAAUGUCAUGACCUAUU
rnacentral:lncRNA from 1 species